UUUCCCUUUGGCACGGUCUGUAGAGCAUUGCGCUAGUAAAGCAAUGGUUGUAGGUUCAAACCUCAGGGAAAU